UGAGUGCUUGUUUUUAAUUAUGAAAUCAACCCUUCCUAGCUUAUGUGCCGAGCCUGCGAGGAGCUACGUCCAAGUGAAAGCAGGCUGAUGCUGGUAUUGUAUGUGUAUACAAGAAUAAACACGGUGCCGUCACGAGGUCCUGGAGUUGCUGCUGCACUGCCCUGUAGUUUACCUGGUAUAUUUUGGUACAUCGGUGACCAGGCUGCAGUGAUCUCAGAUUGGAAUAUCCGUCUCUAUGAAGGAACAUCCUUCGUAAACAUACGUUGUCGAACCUUUGCUUUGUUUGCCGGACAAGUAUUGUACAUCUAAUUGGUUUGUUUGGAACACGUGUUUUUUAUUGUUUGAAGCUAUUGUUGUGUUUAUUUGGAAACUUGAUUUUGUCUUUUUGACCUAAGUUUCUCUAAACUGGCCUACUGUGUGGCAAUUCUCUGAUUUCAUAUCUUGAUAUGCACAUGCUCAACCCAUUGUGUGCAGCCAAGAAGUUUCAUUGUUGUUGCAGAAAACUGGCAGAGUUCAAGAUUGAUAUCUAAGCUGGGGUAAAGUUAAGCAACGAUCAAUUAAAUAUGUAUCAUUGUGGACAUAUACAUACUAUACUGACAAGAAAGUGAUCGUUUGUGGUCAUCCCUAGUGUGUAUCGUUGUGGACAUACAUACUAUAAACUCCAUCAAUUAUGUAUAACUUUCUCUUGACCACUUAAUAUCAAGGUUGGGGAAGUUUGUCAACGAGGUGCGAACUUGAAGGGUCACCUCAACCACUACAGGUAAUACAAACUCAUUAUUUCCUAUGACAUUUUUGUUAAUUGAUCACUUACAUGUAGGUUCUAUUCUCUUGCAGACUUGGUUCUACGAGAAAUUCCACAUUGAUCGUACCAUUUUCUAUUUUCAACAUGACAAGCCGCUUAUCCUAGAUUGUAACGAAGCAAAAGUGGGCAAGGUUGACAAAAUAAUCUCAGAGAACUACGAAUGAGAUUGAGAGGUAUAUGCUUAGCGUUACUUGUUGUAAUCUGCUCAGCUUUUACAAAAAUGAUUCAUAAUAAAUUUUUUUGCAGAUGGUUGAGGACCUCAUGCGACCUUGGAAGACAUUGCCUAAGGUUUCUCAUCAGCCUUCGAAGAUGUUUUUUAUGUUAAAACUAGUUCUUUCUAAAUACCUUUUUUUUAAACUGGUUCUAAUUUUUCUUAACUUGUAGCUUGAUGGGACACUAGCCUGCCUAGUGGCCUAGAUGAUAGAGAUGAAAGUAAUUAUAUCUCCGCAACAUUCGGAGAUGUCUCCACAACUAGAUGGAGUAGUACGGUACCAGAAGAAAACCAACAUGCAUUUGGAGGAUCUAAUUUCUCAAUUCAACGUAAGCAUUUGUUUUUAUUAUAAUUCAUUCUUCCAAAUAAGUGCAUGACUAACAUCUUUAUUAAAAGGACCAUCGAUUUGGCGUAUGACACAACAACUUUGAUGCGGCAAAGAGUUAACAAAGAAAUCAAGCUAUUUAUGUCACAAAAUUUGUAACUUAUCUCUUCAUGUCACGAAAUGUAUGCUGACCAUUUAUCUUUUGAACGUACAAAUUAGAGAACUUCAAAAAAUGUAGCCGCUUCCCUAGCAAGAAUGGUAUGAAGUUCCAUAUUGCUUGCAUGUUUUUCUUUCCCAACCAUACAACUAACUUCCGUUCAUCGGUAAAAUAAAUAUCCAUGGACCACCAAAGGGCAAAACUGAGAGGAUGUUGUGUAAUCAAUUGGGAACUGUUUCAGGUAUGGCAACAAGACUUACCGGCAGAAUGUGAGGUCAGCAUGCACACGUCUCGUAAAUUUGUUGACCUCAGAUUCUGCUGGUAAGUUUUUACUGUCAUCACACGUGAAACGCUUCCCAAUUGAUUCCACAGCGUCGUGUCUGUCAGUUCUCCCCGGUCCAUAGAUGUUUGAUUUACCUUCUGUAAAGAUGGACACAAGUUAGCUCUUGGUUGAAAAAAGAAUGUGCUAGCAAUAUGGAACUUCAUACCUCAAAUUUUGUUGCUAAGUUUUUGCUGGGGUGCUGUAGACACACUUUGGAACUUCAUUUGUAGAAGCGGCUACAUUUUUUGAGGUUUCUAGUUUGCACGUUCAAAAGAUAAGUGAUCAGCAUACAUUUUGGGACAAGAACAGGAAAAUUAUAAAUUUUAUGACAUGAUUACGUUGAUUUCUUUGUCAACUCUCUUUCCCGCAUCAAAGUCUGGUUGUGUCGUAUGCCAAAUUGAUGAUCUUUAUAAUAAAAAGAUGUUAGUCAUGCACUUAUUUCAAAGGAUGAAUUACAAAAAAACAAAUGCGUACGUCCAAGCGCACGAUGAUUUCCUUCUAGCGUCAUACUAUUCUGCCAGUUGUGUAGACGUCAACGAAUGUUGCUGAGACAUAAUUGCUUUCAUCUCUGCCAUAUGGGCGACUAGGCGGCCUAGUGUCCCAUUGAGCUACAAGUGAAGAUGAAUUAUAACUGUUAUUUUAAAAAAAAUAUUUAGAAAGAAUUAGUUUCGGCCUAAAAAACAUUACUGGCUAGCAUCAUUCUACAAGUUAUAUAACACGUACCUCCAUAGUUGACUUUGAAGAUAGAUGAGAAACCUUUGGCGGUGCCUUCAAGGUCGCAUGAGGGGAAGGGAGAUCCUGUCUAGUUUUUCUCGUGUGUUCGAACCAGUCUCUAUGCAUUGCAUUUCACCACUUCACAGGGGUAAGACUUGGUUCCUACAAUCUCUCCCAGACUCUACCUUGUGGGAGCUUAUAUGCACUUGGUCUGUCCUUUUGAGGGUCUGCCCUUUUGAGGAUUUGGUGAUGGGCAUAGAAAAACAUCACCUAUGGAUGAGCUGCCUUGGCUAAAGCCUUAGCCUAAGCUGAAAGCUACUCUUCCUAAUGGAUGAGUCCUCCUUUUGUGAAACAUGUUCUUGCUGGCCUUUGCUUGUACUAACUAAUGCAUCUAUUCUUUGCCCCCAUCAAAGUUUAUUGGGUAUUACAUCCUCUGUAACAAAAUGUAUGACGUUUUUUAUGCCCUAUGCAAAACCAAAAAAACGCCUUACAUUUUGGUACAUAUAAGUUGAUAUUGUUCUUCAGGUUGAUCAAGCGUAAAAUAGACGUAGGGACUAACUAAAUGGCCCGUAUAUGGAUGGAAGGAAGGAGUCUGACGAAAGCUUAAUUAGCAUGUGGAAGUCUGAACAAGAAUUCUGUCCUAAGUUCUCCCGUUGUAAAACAUGUUCUUCCUGGCCUCUACUUGUCCUCCCCUGACAAACUCCCGCCUCCCCUGACAAGCUCAUGCCGCCGUGAGCGUGGCAACGGCAUUCUGACUACAUCUGAUGAUGGCUACAUGAAUGCCGCGUGUGAUAGGAUCAAGAUCUCUUUAUCUAUGGCAUGACAAGCUAGAUAGAUUGUUGUCCGUACUAACAUCUACACCCUUUAUUCCUAAAUAUAAGAUGUUUGGUUGUAUGAACAGUUGAUAAUUAGUUUAUGGACUAGCGGAGUCUCUUUGCACCGUUGUUCUAUGCAGGGAGGGAGAUAUAAACGUGAUUGGUUUAUUCAUACUUGAGCUAGCAUUUUCAAAUACUAUGAAAUAAAAUUUGCAAAUACUUAGAAAAAGCAAAUUACAGCCACUUGUG
rnacentral:lncRNA from 1 species